rnacentral:rRNA from 1 species
AAGCCUGAUCCAGCAAUGCCGCGUGUGUGAAGAAGGCCUUCGGGUUGUAAAGCACUUUUGUCCGGAAAGAAAUCAUUCUGGCUAAUCCCGGAGUGGACAAUGACGGUACCCGGAAGAAUAAGCACCCGGCUAACUACGUGCGCCAGCAGCCGCGUAAUACGUAGGGUGCGAGCGUUAAUCGGAAUUACUGGGCGUAAAGCGUGCGCAGGCGGUUUGCUAAGACCAGAUGUGAAAUCCCCGGGCUCAACCUGGGAACUGCAUUGGUGACUGGCAGGUCUAGAGUAUGGCAGAGGGGGGUGGAAUUCCACGUGUAGCAGUGAAAUGCGUAGAGAUGUGGAGGAAUACCGAUGGCGAAGGCAGCCCCCUGGGCCAAUACUGACGCUCAUGCACGAAAGCGUGGGGAGCAAACAGGAUUAGAUACCCUGGUAGUCCACGCCCUAAACGAUGUCAACUAGUUGUUGGGGAUUCAUUUCUUACGUAACGUAGCUAACGCGGAAGUUGACCGCCUGGGGAGUACGGUCGCG